AUUGAACGCUGGCGGCAGGCUUAACACAUGCAAGUCGAGCGGAGUGGCGAACGGGUGAGUAAUGUAUCGGAACGUGCCCAGUAGCGGGGGAUAACUACGCGAAAGCGUAGCUAAUACCGCAUACUAUUGGAGCGGCCGAUGUCGGAUUAGCUAGUUGGUGGGGUAACGGCCCACCAAGGCGACGAGCCGUAACUGGUCUUAGAGGACGAGCAGUCACACUGGGACUGAGACACGGACCAGACUCCUACGGGAGGCAGCAGUGGGGAAUUUUGGACAAUGGGCGAAACCCUGAUCCAGCCAUCCCGCGUGUGGGAUGAAGGUCUUCGGGUUGUAAAGCACUUUUAGCAGGGAAGCGUUACCUGCAGAAUAAGCACCGGCUAACUACGUGCCAGCAGCCGCGGUAAUUC
rnacentral:rRNA from 1 species